rnacentral:lncRNA from 1 species
AGUCCCUGGAGUUCCCAGCCAAGCCACAGACCUGCCUCUGAGGAAGGGAAUCGAGCAGGGAGUAGGAGGGGACCUCUGGGGACUCGGGCCUGGAGCUCCUGCCUGCCUGGAUGAAGAGGAGGUCAAGACUUUGUCCCCCACUCCGCAAGAUACCCUCUCUGUUCCGGAGCGGUGGGUCCCUCCCCUGUUAGGACCUUGUCUCCCUCAGGACUGGACCUGGAUCCUGGGCCUGCAGUCAGAUUGCCAGUUUCACUUAGAGGUGGAAAUGUCAACCCACUGGUUGGAAUGGGAAGGUAGGGUGUGGGGUCGGGGAGUACCUUCAUUUCUAUCUGCCCAGGAGGCCAGCCGCUUCCUGCAUAGCAUUUCCUUCCUGCAGUAUGGGAAGGACCAGGCUUUCUCAGACCACAGAAUCUUGAGAGCCAUUUCCACGUGGAGCAAGUGGUGGCUACCAGCCUUGGGUCUACAUAACUAGGGCCUCAUCCCUGGCCCAAGAAUCCUGCUCCACAGCCUUCUUGUGUCCCUGUAGGAGGAGAAACACCUGGCAACUUAAAUUUUUUAAAAUAACUUUUUUUUUUUUUUGAGACGGAGUCUCGCUCUGUCUCCCAGGCUGGAGUGCAGUGGUGCGAUCUCGGCUCACUGCAAGCUCCGCCUCCCAGGUUCAUGCCAUUCUCCUGCCUCAGCCUCCCAAGUAGCUGGGACUACAGGCACCUGCCAUCACGCACGGCUAAUUUUUUUGUAUUUUUUUAGGUGAGACAGGAUUUCACCAUGUUAGCCAGGAUGGUCUUGAUCUCCUGACCUCAUGAUCUGCCCACCUCGGCCUCCCAAAGUGCUGGGCUUACAGGCGUGAGCCACCGUGCCCGGCCAAAAAUAACUUUUAAAAACAUGAGUAUAGCAUACACACACACAAAAGUCCACAAAUCCUAGGUGUACCACUUGAUGAAUGAUCCCAACGUGAGCACACCUCUGGAUUACCACCUGGAUCAAGAAAUAGGACAUCACAGCAGCUGGCAGCUUCCAAGGAGAAGCUCUGGAAAGUUCUGCCUGUCUCAGCACCUGGCUGGAUCGGAAACGAGUUUUCUUUAACCAGAUUUUUAAUGACUGACUUAUGUGGACAAAUCAUAACUGAAUGAAUCACCUCCUUUGUUGAUUUUUUUGGGUACUUUAUUUGCUAUUAUAAAUGAUGCUGUAAUAAGCACCCUUGAAGAAAUCUUCAUAUCUGCCUCUCCUGUGUAGCAGGUCACAGUGCCUGGGUUUGGUUCUAGCCCUCAUUUGUGAACUGUGUGACUCACCAUGCCUUUUUUCUUUCUGUAAGACAGGAAUAAUGGUAAGAAUUUAAAUGGGGGUAAUAUGGAGCGCGUUUAGUUCAGAGCCUGGUGCAUACAAGCACUCAAUAAGUACUGGCGAUUAUUAGACCUUUAGAUUAAUUUAUUAGAAGUUGGAUUUCUGGUGAAAGGGUUUGAGUGUUUUUGAGGCUUUGGCACAGAAUACCCAGCUGGUCCCAGAAAGGUGGUUCCCAUUUACCUGCCCGAAGGUAAUUCACCCUUACUGAUACUGAGUACUGUUUUCUAAAAGAACAUUAAAAAUUGGAUAGGUUAAAAACAGGUGAAUACAUUUUUUUAGUUGCAUUUUUUUGGUUACCCGUGAGAGUGAACAUGUUGCCAUGUGUUUGCUGACCUCCUAAAUGGUCUAUUUGCUCCUACCUUUGUACCCCAAAAGUCUGCUCUCAAGAUGGUAGCCAGAAUGAUCCUUUUUGAGACAUAAGUCAAAAUUUCACUCUUCUCCUUAAAGCUCUGCAAUGGUUCUCAGGUUAAAAGCCAAAGUCCUGUUCAAGGCCUCCAGGGUCCUCACCACUUGGUCCCUUGCUCUUUCUGUUCUAGCCAACUUGGCCUUCUCCUGCCCCUCCGCCGCACCAUGGCAAUUUCCCCUGCUCUGUGUGGUCAACUACCUGAAUCUGUUCAAAGCUUUGCUCAAAUGUCUCCUUCCUGAUGAGACCUCCCCAGCCCCUGAGCUCCCCAUGCCUCACUCCUGAUCGCCUUACUUAACCCUUCUUUUUCUUUUUUGCCAGUAGUACUUAUCACCGUCUAAAAUACUUCAUAAUUUACUUGUUUAUUGUUUGCCCCUCUCCAAUAGAAUGUAAGCUCCUUGGGGCAGGGACCUUUGUCCUUUGUCUUGUUCACUGCUGUGUCCCAUGUGUAAACUUGUCUGGCACAGAAGAGGUGCUCGAUAAAUAUUUGUUGAGUGAAUGAAUGGUAAAUUUUCUGUUCAUAUUCUUUGACUAUUUUCUAUUGUAAUGUUCAUCUUUUUAGUAUUGGUUUAUAAGAUGUAUAUUUAGCACCUUUUCAUAUAUCACUCUUUGUCACAUAUUAUGCAACUAAUUUGUCAUUUCCAUCAAUUUUUAAAAUACUUUCUUGAUGCUUCAUUUUUAAGCUGUCAGAUUAUUAAUCUUUUCUUUAUGGUCUUGGACUUUAUUGUUGCAUAACCGCUGCCUUCACCAGGAACAUAUAAAUUUUCAAUUAAAUGUUCUUCUGAGAUUUUAUGAUUUCACUUUUUAUAUUAAACUCUUCAUUUUGUCUUCAUGUGUGGUGAGAGGUAAGAACAUAACUUUAAAGCAAAUUAACCAACUAUCCCCAAAUGAAUUAUAAAUAAAUUAAUCAUUUUCCAAUGAUCUGAAAGGCCAUUUUAUCAUACACUAAAUAUUUUUGUGUGUUUGACUGGGUUUACCGUUCUGUUCCGUUGGCCUAUCACAUCGUUCUUACAUUGGUAUUUGUUGCCCUAUUUUAAUGAUUGUAACUUUUUAAUAAGGGUUAAUGACUGAGAAUACAAGUCCCAUUGUUUUGUUUUAUUAUUUUUAUUAUUUUUUUGAGACAGGGUUUCACUCUGUCACCCAGGCUGGAGUAUAGUAGCACUAUCUCGGCUCAUUGCAACCUCUGCCUCCCUGGUUCAAGUGAUUCUCCCACCUCAACCUCCCGAGUAGCUGGGACUACAGAUGCAUGCCACCACACCCAGCUAAUUCUUGUAUUUUUAGUAGAGACAGGGUUUCACCAUGUUGACCAGGCUGGUCUUGAACUCCUGGCUUCAAGUGAUUCACCUGCCUCGACCUCCCAAAGUGCUGGGAUUACAGGCGUGACUCACCACGCCUGGCCCAUUUUUUUCUUUUGAGGUGUUCUUUGUGGCAAUUCAUAUAUUCUUUAAGAUAAAUUCUAAACUUUUUUUUUCUGCCGAGAUAAACUAGCAGACAAAUCCCACUGGACAUUGCAAUUGGAUUAGUUUUGUAGAUUAAUUUAGUGAUAAUCAACUUCUUUGCACCAUUGAGUGCUUCUGUCCGGGAACGUGGCAUAUCUUUCUAUUAUUAAGGUCUUUUUUAUUAUAGGUCUUUAGGGAAGCUUUAUUUUAUAGAUGAAUGUAGUGUGUUUGGUGCUUAUUUUCAUAAAAUAAAGCAAUGACAUCUGUGGCAGGCAGCUUCUGAAAUGGCUCCCAAUGAUCCUUACCUUCUGAUAGUCACCCCCUUGGAGAAUCCCUUUCCUUUGUGUGUGGGCUGGAUCUAGUGACUUGCUUCUCAUAAAUAGAAUAUGGCAAAAAAUGAUGGGUUGUUACUUCUGAGAUUAGGUUAUAAGAGGCGAAUUUCUGUUUUGCUGUAAUUUUGUCUCUCUAACCCUCUUGCUUUCCUGUGCUCAUGAAACCAGCUGCUGUGUUGUGAGCCACCUUAUGGAAAACCCAUGUGGCAGAGAACCGAGGGUGGUGGCUGGCCAACAGCAAGCCAGGAGCUGAGGCCCACAGUCCAACAACUGGUGAGGAACCACAUGCUGCCAGCAGCCAUGUGAGGGAACUUAGAAGCAAAUCCUUCCCCAGUUGAGCCUUCAGAUGACACCAGAGCCUUGGCUGACCCCUUACUUUUACCCUUGUAAGAGACUUUGAGCCAGAAGACUUGGCUAAACCACACCUGGAUUCCUGACCCACAGAAACUUGAAAUAAUAAAUGUGUUGUUUUAAGU